rnacentral:rRNA from 1 species
GUGCCAGCCGCCGCGGUAAGACGGAGGUCCCGAGCGUUGUUCGGAAUUAUUGGGCUUAAAGCGCGUGUAGGCGGAGUCGUAAGUACCUUGUGAAAUCCCCGGACUCAAUCCGGGAACUGCUCGGUAUACUGCGAUUCUCGAGGCAGGUAGAGGUCACUGGAACCUUAGGUGGAGCGGUGAAAUGCGUAGAUAUCUAAGGGAACGCCUGUGGCGAAAGCGGGUGACUGGGCCUGUCCUGACGCUGAGACGCGAAAGCGUAGGGAGCAAACGGGAUUAGAUACCCCUGUAGUCC